UCGAAACCUGCACAGCAAAACGAGCCACGAACAUUUAUAAGAAAUGGGGAGUCCACGCGGGUGGGGUACUACAUCACUUCGCAUGAGCACCUCCCCCUCAUCCCUGAUGCAAAAAGCACCAAGGAAUACUUAAAUCAACAGUCUACCCCUCGCGCCCUAUCUAUGAUGUCUCGACUUUCGAAUCGAUGAAGAUCGCGUCGCCCCCUUGAAUCGGGCAUUAAUCAUAGGGCACGCUAUUGUCGUGGGGAGGAUACUGGCCUUCCAUGAACCUCGAGCUUGUGGCUGGCCUAAAUGCGAGUCGACGUUGAUGGAUGUCACGGCAAGUGGUGGUUGUGUCUCAACUCUCUUUGUUGUCGCGGCUAAAUCUCGUCGCGCGUUUGGACUCCAGGACCUUUUUGCACUUAGGAACUCCGACCGUGACCCCAGGUCANGAACCCUGAACCCUGAACCCUGAACCCUGGGUUUCGGGGGGAGUAUAGUCGCAAGGCUGAAACUUAAAGGAAUUAACGGAAGGGCACCACCAGGAGUGGAGCCUGCGGCUUAAUUGGACUCAACACGAGGAAACUUACUAGGUCCAGACAUAGUAAAGAUUGACAGACUGAGAACUCUUUCUAGAUUCUAUGGGUGGUGGUGCAUGGCCGUUCUUAGUGUGUGGAGCGAUUUGUCUGGUUAAUUCCGUUAACCAAUGAGACCUCAACCUGUUAACUUGCUAUACGGAGGUAUCCCUUCGCGGCCAGCUUCAUAGUGGGACUAUAGCCUUUUAGGCCGCGGAAGUUUGAGGCAAUAACAGGUCUGUGAUGCCCUUAGAUGUUUUGGGCCGAACGCGCGCUACACUAAUGUAUUCAUUGAGUUUAUAGCCUUGGCCGACAUGCCUGGGUAAUCUUUGAAAUUUUGUCAUGAUGGGGAUAGAUCAUUUCCAUUGUUGGUCUUCAAAGAGGAAUUCUUAGUAAGCGCGAGUCAUCAUCUCGCGUUGACUACAUCUCUACCCUUUGUACACACCUCCCGUCGCUCCUACCAAUUGAAUGAUCCAGUGAAAUGUUUGGAUCACAGCGACGUAGGCGGUUCGUUGCCUGCAAUGUCAAGAGAAGUCCAUUGAACCUUAUCAUUUAGAGGAAGGAGAAUUCAUAACAAGGUUUCCAUAGGUGAACCUACAGAAG
rnacentral:rRNA from 1 species